CUUGCAGGGUACUCGGGUGGCGAACGGGUGGGUAACACGUGGGUGAUCUGCCCUGCACUUCGGGAUAAGCUUGGGAAACUGGGUCUAAUACCGGAUAGGAGCCAUCUUUAGUGUGGUGGUUGGAAAGUUUUUUCGGUGUAGGAUGAGCUCGCGGCCUAUCAGCUUGUUGGUGGGGUAAUGGCCUACCAAGGCGGCGACGGGUAGCCGGCCUGAGAGGGUGUACGGCCACAUUGGGACUGAGAUACGGCCCAG
rnacentral:rRNA from 1 species